rnacentral:rRNA from 1 species
UACGUAGGGGCCUAGCGUUGUCCGGAUUUAUUGGGCGUAAAGAGCUCGUAGGCGGUUCGGCAAGUCGGAUGUGAAAUCUCCACGCUCAACGUGGAGGGGCCAUUCGAAACUGCCGUGACCCGAGUCCGGUAGGGGAGCGUGGAAUUCCUGGUGUAGCGGUGAAAUGCGCAGAUAUCAGGAGGAACACCAGCGGCGAAGGCGGCGCUCUGGGCCGGAACUGACGCUGAGGAGCGAAAGCGUGGGGAGCGAACAGG